UGACAAAAUGGAUGUCAAGUGCGUAAUACUUUUGCUUUUUUCUUUAACAAUUGGUACGCCUACAAGUCAGAAACUUGGUUGGUGUUAAUGAUAAAUAGAAAGAAGUUGAACAGUGGGAGAAAAUAUCAAAACUCGAGGCAAUCGUAGCUAACCUAAUGGUAGAACUCGGUCAAUUGAAGACUAAACUCUCCGACCUAAAGGCCCACAGAAAAGCAAAAGAAACAUUUACAUUAAAGCAGAAACUAAUACAUGGCAAGAGCGUGACGAACAGUAUUUCACAAACAGAAGGUUCGAAGUCGCCUGAACUAAUCGUUUCAAAGAGAGGAUUGAAGCCUGUUUCAGCGAACGACCAUAUUGGAAGAGGUUUGUACCGUUAAUGUUAUUACUAUACCACUGGGUCCAUAACUCUGUUGGUGGACUGUUCGCACCAUGAGGUAUCACCUGCCAAGUAGUCAUGCAGUACUACCAUGAAUAAGGAUAUUGUAAUAUAAAAAAAAUGGUGUCUGAAAAUUCUAGAAAUUAUUCUAAUUAAAGGAAUAUAUCUAUCUCAUGAUUCCUUGCCCGACUUUGGCUUUAGUUUUUGUCCUGUUUGACUUAUAAGCUCUUUAUUUUUUUUAUAACUUUUAAUUUCAAAAUAUUUUGGCCUCAAGAAUCCUGGAUGAUCAAAAUGCCCUCUAUUCUAAAUACUCAAAAUUAGAACCAUAUAAAUAAUACAAGAUAUGCUCAUUUUCUACUGCAUGUGUGAAUAUCUCAAUGCAAAAUAUGGGGGUUGAGGAAAUCAGCGUAAAUUCAUAUAGUAUCAGUUAGCAUAAAUUUGAAUUGAUUCAAGAAUUUAACAUUCAGCAGUUUUCUGUUAUGUUAUCCUAGUCAUGCAUUUCGUUACUUAAUUGUUCUUUUUUUAUAUACAAUUUGGAUGAGUUUCGUACAAACCAUUCAUCGGAAACUGAUCUUUUGUCUUUAACUUAAUUUUUAGCAAUGUCUUAUACUUUCAGAAACAAGACUUCUUUUACCUGGUAAUACAGACGACGGAAAACGAACAGCUUUCCAUGCUUUCAUGGGGUCGAACGCACCAGUGACAGCACAUAAACAAAUAAUAUUUAAUAAUGUGAGGAUAAACAAUAGACAUGGAUAUCCAACAAUAAUACUGGAGUUUUUACGUGUCCGGUCAGUGGUCUCUCAGUGACGUGUUAACAUAUACCCUUUAUCCUUAUCUUAAUAGCUGGACGACUAUGGAGCUAAUUGUUAAUAAUUCUGUACAUUCAAAAUCAUUUGUUGAUGGAUCUGAGGACUACCAGGUCAAUGGAGCUACAGCUAUAUCAUUGGUAUACAUUACAAAAGGUACCACUGCGUAUGUAAGAACAGGAACAUCCACAAAUUCCCGUCUUCAGAGCGUUGGUUCCAUAAGAAGCGAUGAUGAUGUGUGGUCUACGUUUUCUGGGUGGAAAAUAUCCAAUUAAUAAAAAAGAAAAAGAGCUUGAAUUGUUUAGCAUCACAAUACUAUGAUCUACUUCGCAUGCAGUUUCUAGAAAAUCAUGAUGGUAUAAGAUUUUGAGAUUUGUCUAUAUAUUACGUUUAUAUUUAAGUUUUCUUGUUUUGUUAUAAAUAAGAGGUUCUUCCACUUAUACUACAUGUAAUAUGUUGGAAUGAAUCCAAGUAAGGUUGACAUUCAUAUAAGUAUUUGAUUGUGCAUCUAGACACUACUGUGCUGC
rnacentral:lncRNA from 1 species